UGGAGAGCCGGCUCCUCCGGGGAAGGGUGCGUGCAGAGCAGCGCCUCCGGCCGGAUUCCGCCCUUCCUUGGGCCCCGCCUGCGGCUCAGCUCAUCCGAGCCCAACCUCUGGCACCUCCAUGCGGACCUGCACCUACUGCCCCCGCCCACCCGACGCCACCUAGCAGCACCCUGCGGCUCCAGGGGUGCCCUGUUGGCCUUUUGGGAAACUCGACGCCGCCGGGCCCAGGCUCCAGCCUCUGGCCAAGGGUGUCCCGAAGACAGGGCUGCAGGGCGGAGGGCCAGGAGCCCGACCCGGCCCAAGAUGGGCUGUUAAGAAGAUGGGUCACUAGGCGCCAAGCAGAAGCAGAUGGACGACCAGAGCCAGAGUCCCGGGGAGGGCAGACCCACAGGUUCACAAGAGGACUGAAACGCGAUGGUGUCUGCCACUUUAGACUUCAUGCCCAAAUCCAAAACAAGAAGAAAGAGAACAGGAGAAAGGGUCAUUGAUUCUGCUUCAUCGGGAAAACAAAACACCUUCCCAGAAACCCUCUUAACAGUUUUCCAUUGAUACCCUGUUUAUACCUUGUUGGCAGAACCUGGGUCAUGUGGCCAUACCUAAGUGACAGAGGCUUGGAAAGUGGGAGCAAGACGAUCAUCUGUGGCUGGGCCAAUCAUCUUCCAUCUGUUAGGUGCGUGGGGGGUGUGAUAUCGAGUCGAAAAUAAGCAUUCAUUGUCACUCCGCCUAGGUGCUCUGAAUUGUAUUCCCCGGUUCUGGAAAUUUACUAUGAAAAGUUAUUUGAUAUUCAGUAGUUGUACUGGUAAUUCAAUCCAGUUUAUAUGUGUGUUGCUGUUUAAAGCG
rnacentral:lncRNA from 1 species